rnacentral:rRNA from 1 species
UAAUACAGAGGUGGCAAGCGUUGUUCGGAAUUACUGGGCGUAAAGGGCGCGUAGGCGGUUCGAUAAGUCCCGUGUGAAAGCCCCCGGCUCAACUGGGGAACUGCACGGGAAACUGACGGACUUGAGUUCGGGAGAGGGAAGCGGAAUUCCGGGUGUAGCGGUGAAAUGCGUAGAUAUCCGGAGGAACACCGGUGGCGAAGGCGGCUUCCUGGACCGACACUGACGCUGAGGCGCGAAAGCUAGGGGAGCAAACGGGAUUAGAUACCCCGGUAGUCCUAGCUGUAAACGAUGAGUGCUGGGUGUAGGGGGUGUUAACCCCUCCUGUGCCGAAGCUAACGCAUUAAGCACUCCGCCUGGGGAGUACGGUCGCAAGGCUG